rnacentral:lncRNA from 12 species
CUUUCUUCAUCUGCAAAGUGGAGAGAAUAAUUUCUAUCAUACCAGAUUACUCUAAGGUUAAAAAUAAAUAUAUUAUCCAUUAAAAGCCUCACAAACUAUAAUGUAGCGUACACUCAUAAGAUAAUUUUAUUGUGGCUCUCUUUCACAUAGAAGAGAAAGACUAGCAGGCUCACUAAACACAACAUUACAAUAUAAAUACUUGAAUGAACAACCUAGAUGUCUUUAAUGAUAAUACAUGAGCAUCCUCUUUUUAAUGUAAGGUCCCCUCUGGCAUGAAUAGAUUGUUACAGCCAGUUCAUUUUCCAUGUUUCCAGCAGAUUAACUGCUUGUCUGAACUCGUGAAAUAGGAAUGAUGAGCCUCCGUGGAGUUGAAGGGGCUUCCUGAUGAACUCAUCUGUUUUCGUCUUUUGUAAUGAGAAGUUACCACUGUGCCCAGAAUGUUCUGCUUCUCUGAAGGCUUGCAGUUCUCACUUUAUACAGCAGCGGUUCCUGAAAUGAUGUCAGCCUCCCAGUAUCUUCUGAAUGAGUCUUCAUUCUAUGUCUCCUUAUCCAUAAUAGAAGCCAUAUGGCCCAGGUAGUGCUGGGCUAGAAUUGCAUCACUUAAAAUGAGGUCUUCAGACCACUGACAUCAGCAUCCUCUGUGAACUUAUUAGAAAUGCAGAAUCUCAGGCCUUGCCCCAGAUCUCUUGAAUCAGAAUCUCCAUUUGACAGGAUUCUCAGUUAAUUCAUAUCCACAUUAAAGUUUGAGAAUCAUUGGGCUGUGUGCGGUGAAGGUAGAGUGAACUGAUUAAGAGGAAAGUACCCUUGUCUUAUCUGUAAUGCCAUUCUGAUUUUGUUUCUUUGGUGUGUCCACAUUAUCAUUGUCCACAUAGACCUUCCAAGAUACCCUGUUCAUGAUUUUAUAAUGGAGAUUAAGGGGAAAAAUGUACUCAAGUAGCAGAAAAUUCACUUUAUGGUCAACUUUUUAAGAGUAACUCUUUUGGAAAACAAAACUUUUCUGUAGCUGAUGUUGACUUGCCUUGCUUCUGCAUUUUCCUGCUUGAUGAUUAUCAAAGAAGGGCAGGGAUAGGUUUCCAGCCUCAUCAUUUUCCCCCUUUCAUCUUUGAGUCUCAACUCUAACAUGGGUUAGGCUUUCCCAGACCAUACUCUCACUCUCUCCAGCCGGUCUCUCCCCAUCACAUUAACCUGACAUUUAUGGCAUGUCUCUCUUGCUGAAAUCCUUAUAGCUGCUUUAUAUGCUUGUUGUCUACCUUCUUUGUCCACUAGAAUACAAAUUCCAGGAGGACAAGGAGAUUUCCUUGUUCACUUCUGCAAUGAUUCCUGACACCAACUACAUUCAAGCUAG